rnacentral:rRNA from 1 species
GAUGAACGCUGGCGGCAUGCCUAAUACAUGCAAGUCGAACGAGAGGAAGGAAAGCUUGCUUUUCUGAAUCUAGUGGCGAACGGGUGAGUAACACGUAGGUAACCUGCCCAUGUGCCCGGGAUAACUUCUGGAAACGGAUGCUAAAACCGGAUAGGUAGCAGACAAGCAUUUGACUGCUAUUAAAGUGGCUAAGGCCAUGAACAUGGAUGGACCUGCGGUGCAUUAGCUAGUUGGUGAGGUAACGGCCCACCAAGGCGACGAUGCAUAGCCGGACUGAGAGGGCGGGCGGCCACAUUGGGACUGGGACACGGCCCAAACUCCUACGGGAGGCAGCAGUAGGGAAUUUUCGUCAAUGGGGGGAACCCUGAACGAGCAAUGCCGCGUGAGUGAGGAAGGUCUUCGGAUCGUAAAGCUCUGUUGUAAGAGAAAAACGACAUUCAUAGGGAAUGAUGAGUGAGUGAUGGUAUCUUACCAGAAAGUCACGGCUAACUACGUGCAGCCGCCGCAGUAA